UUUUGUAUGGAAUGAUCUUCUCCAAUCAAUUAUUUGAAUCUAAGAGGAAGAGAAGAUCAUCAGUGGCAAAUGGCAGUCACAGGAAAGCAACACCCACAGCCGGUUUCACACGUGUGGAGAGCACCCUGAGCCUCCUCCUCCUGGUUUCCCGUGCUCUGCAAGUUCAGAGAAACUUCUCUCACAACCAACUAUAGAAACAAUCUUGGAACGUACAGUCUUAGAAAUGGCUUUUUAAUUGCAGCAUAUCAGAGUGAAAAAGGACCCAGAGAUGUUGGAAUCAGACAAUCCUGGUUUCAAAUCGGUUUCAUUGUUCAUCCUCAUGUGAUGUUUGGCAAGAAAUAAAACAUUUCUGCGUUCA
rnacentral:lncRNA from 10 species